rnacentral:tRNA from 1 species
GGAGAGAUGGCAGAGUGGUCGAUCGCGGCGGUCUUGAAAACCGUUGUACCGAAGGGUACCGGGGGUUCGAAUCCCUCUCUCUCCG